rnacentral:misc_RNA from 1 species
GAUGAAGAACGUAGCGAAAUGCGAUAAGUAGUGUGAAUUGCAGAAUUCAGUGAAUCAUCGAAUCUUUGAACGCACAUUGCGCCCCUUGGUAUUCCAUGGGGCAUGCCUGUUCGAGCGUCAUUUGUACCUUCAAGCUUUGCUUGGUGUUGGGUGUUUGUCUCGCCUUUGCGUGUAGACUCGCCUUAAAAUAAUUGGCAGCCGGCGUAUUGAUUUCGGAGCGCAGUACAUCUCGCGCUUUGCACUCAUAACGACAGCGUCCAAAAGUACAUUUUACACUCUUGACCUCGGAUCAGGUAGGUAUACCCGCUGAACUUAAGCAUAUCAAUAAGCGGAGGA